ensembl:lncRNA
GCAGGCUCCAGGAGCCGGGUAGCCUCCAGCGAAUCAGCUCACGGCGGCGCAAGCGUCCGCGGCCGACGCGCCAGGACACCACGGAGAGCGAGGACGACGGGGGGCGGAGCCAGCGGACCCCCCGCUGGAACCCCCGGCUCAGCCCCCACCGCGGCCACAGCAGGACCAUCCUGGAGGAGAGCGUCUCUCAGGUCAGGCCGCUGGUCAUCCGUCGACCGAGCGCCGAGGUGCAGACGGCCCGGCAGCCCGGAGGCUUCCGGAGGCCCCAAGCCAGCGCUGUGGCCUCGGCCCCUCCCCUGCCCCCCGUCUCCUCCUGCUCCUCCUCCUCCUCCUCCUCCCCCUCUCCCUGGUCCUCCUGCUCCUCUUCAGACCCUGGGCCGGUGCCUGACCACCCAGAGUGCCCCCCCUUGUUGCUAGUUAGUAGUGAUCGAGGGUUUGAGUUUAUUAUGAACCAUGCACUACUCAGUAAUACACAGACACAAUAGGAUAGCACACGCAGACAGAAACUUUGGUCCGACGUCCUAUUAAGUCUUUCUUUAGGUUAUUUGGACAUUCUAGAUGUUCAGCUAAGAUAUAUCUACUUUUAGAAAACUUGCUUUGAGGGAUAUUAAUUAUCGGAAAACUUCUACGAGGUAGGAUGUAAGGUGACUUUUGCAAUAUGUUUGGAACAUUCUACUAUUUACUUUUUACUAUUGAGUCAUUAAGACGGACUUUUACCCAAAGCAUCUUAAUGGAGGACCAAGCACCCCAUGUAUUUUGGUUUGCGUUGUAGAACAUUUGUUUGACCUCUACAGGUCAAACAAAUGCAACUGCAGGCUGCUAUUGCAACGGCUGAUUAAGAACGUGCCCGUCCUCCGCUUAUUGAGUCUGCGAGGCCAAAUAAUUAAAUCAAACUUGAAAGCAUUUUCAAAAGGCACAAUUGUGUCAUGCUCACCAAACUUUUAAGUGUUUUUCUUUGUAAUUGAGCGUGUAUGGUUAAAUCCCAUUUCCGUUUCCAAGUCUGUGACAAAUCCUCAGGAAUGCGCCACUGUGUCCAGGUGAUGUCCAUUUCCAUUAAUUGGCAUCAUCUGGGAAGAGUUGGAGCCAAUCAGAAGCACAUGCAGUUAGUAGUGUUUCACCACAAGGGGCCACUGAAAAACGAUGUUCCUACAACUGCUGGCUUCGUAACAUUUGACGCGGCAUCGUCAUAGUAACACUGAGUGUCGCUCCAUGGUAACGGUUCAGAAUGAGCUAGAGCUAAUCCCUGACCUGUCACUUUGCACUGCAGAAGAACCAAGCUUGAGGUUAAAAACACACCACGGUUCCUGAUGUAGGAAUGAAC